GAUGAACGCUAGCUACAGGCUUAACACAUGCAAGUCGAGGGGAAACGACAUCGAAAGCUUGCUUUUGAUGGGCGUCGACCGGCGCACGGGUGAGUAACGCGUAUCCAACCUGCCCAUCACUUGGGGAUAACCUUGCGAAAGUAAGACUAAUACCCAAUGAUAUCUCUAGAAGACAUCUGAAAGAGAUUAAAGAUUUAUCGGUGAUGGAUGGGGAUGCGUCUGAUUAGCUUGUUGGCGGGGUAACGGCCCACCAAGGCAACGAUCAGUAGGGGUUCUGAGAGGAAGGUCCCCCACAUUGGAACUGAGACACGGUCCAAACGCCUACGGGAGGCAGCAGUGAGGAAUAUUGGUCAAUGGGCGAGAGCCUGAACCAGCCAAGUAGCGUGCAGGAAGACGGCCCUAUGGGUUGUAAACUGCUUUUAUAAGGGAAUAAAGUGAGAGUCGUGACUCUUUUUGUAUGUACCUUAUGAAUAAGGACCGGCUAAUUCCGUG
rnacentral:rRNA from 1 species